CUCAAUUUUCCCCCAAUUUUCCCCAUUUUCCCCCAAUUUGCCUCCAUAUCCCCUUUCCCCUUAGGCCACGCUAACACCGAGCCACCAACCAAUAGGAACGCAGCACCGGCAACACAACCUCGAUACACUCGGGGGGCGGGGCCUCGCGGUAGAGGCCACGCCCCCCCUGGCCCCACAAACGGACCCAAAACGGCACCAAAAUUUGAAAUUUUUUUAUUCCUUUUUAACAACUUCCGUCCCCAGCCAUCUCCAGGGAAGCCCCAGAGCUCCUGUUCAGGAGCCUCGGAUCCCGCCAGAGAUCUCUGUUUGUCCUUUAUGGCCGUGGAUUGAGAUCCCACUGAGAGCACCCGCCCCUCGCCGGCCGCAGAGCAGAGCCCUAAAUAAAGAAGAUUAAAUUCCUGGCUACUGAAUAUCGGGGUGGCUAUCGCAUUUUGCGGCGCAUCCGGCGGGGAAUGGGAUGACGGGACCUUCCUGUUCUCGGCCGCGCGCCCGCCUCGCGCCCGGGGGACGCCCCCGCCACGACCCCCCCCGCACCCCCGAGCCCGACGGGACCCCCGGAGCCACCCCCGGAGCCCUCCGGAACGCCCCCGGCCCCUCCCGCGCCGCGGAGCCGCCGAGAUUUUAGGGACUGAGUCUGGAGCAGCUGCGAGACCCCCCCAAGACCCUCAGAGAGCAGGAGCCCCCAUGGAGCAGGACGAGCCGGACGUGGUGGAGCUGCAGGACUCGGAUGAGGGGGACGUGGUCCGGAGGGUCUUCAUUGGUGAGGAGGG